GACGAACGCUGGCGGCGUGCUUAACACAUGCAAGUCGAACGGAAAGGCCCUGCUUUUGUGGGGUGCUCGAGUGGCGAACGGGUGAGUAACACGUGAGUAACCUGCCCUUGACUUUGGGAUAACUUCAGGAAACUGGGGCUAAUACCGUAUAGGAGCUCCUGCUGCAUGGUGGGGGGUGGAAAGUUUCGGCGGUUGGGGAUGGACUCGCGGCUGAUGAGCUUGUUGGUGGGGUAGUGGCUUACCAAGGCUUUGGCGGGUAGCCGGCCUGAGAGGGUGACCGGCCACAUUGGGACUGCGAGACGGCCCAGACUCCUACGGGAGGCAGCAGUGGGGAAUAUUGCCCAAUGGGCGGACGCCUGAUGCAGCAACGCCGCGUGCGGGAUGACGGUCUUCGGGUUGUAAACCGCUUUCGCCUGUGACGAAGCGUGAGUGACGGUAAUGGGUAAAGAAGCACCGGCUAACUACGUG
rnacentral:rRNA from 1 species